GCGGGCGUGCUGAAAUUGGUAGACAGGCUACCUUGAGGAGGUAGUGGCCUUUUGGCCGUGGAGGUUCAAGUCCUCUCGCCCGCACCA
rnacentral:tRNA from 1 species